rnacentral:rRNA from 1 species
CCCUUAGAUGCUCUGGGCUGCACGCGCGCUACACUGAAGCGUUCAACGACUAUUCACCUUGCCCGGGAGGGUUGGGUAAUCUUUUGAAAACGCUUCGUGAUGGGGAUAGAUUAUUGCAAUUAUUAAUCUUCAACGAGGAAUUCCUAGUAAGCGCGAGUCAUCAGCUCGUGCUGAUUACGUCCCUGCCCUUUGUACACACCGCCCGUCGCUCCUACCGAUUGAGCGAUCCGGUGAAUAAUUCGGACUGCAGCACUGCUUGGUCUCCAGGCUUUGCAGCGGAAAGUUUAGUGAACCUUAUCACUUAGAGGAAGGAGAAGUCGUAACA